rnacentral:rRNA from 1 species
GGACUACUAGGGUUUCUAAUCCUGUUUGCUCCCCACGCUUUCGCACCUCAGCGUCAACAGUCGUCCAGUAAGUCGCCUUCGCCACUGGUGUUCUUCCGAAUAUCUACGAAUUUCACCUCUACACUCGGAAUUCCACUUACCUCUCCGACGUUCUAGCGAUGCAGUCUUAAAGGCAAUUCCGGAGUUGAGCCCCGGGCUUUCACCUCUAACUUACAAAGCCGCCUACGUGCGCUUUACGCCCAGUAAUUCCGAACAACGCUAGCCCCCUCCGUAUUACCGCGGCUGCUGGCAC